rnacentral:snRNA from 1 species
AGCUUUGCGCAGUGGCAGUAUCGUAGCCAAUGAGGUUUAUCCGAGGCAUGAUUAUUGCUAAUUGAAAACGUUUCCCUAAUUAUCUCAGAACAGAGUGGGUGGGUCAAACAGCAGGGGUAUGUUUGACUUUUGGAGAAACUCACCCGGUAGCUUUAUUUUGUAUUUCUUUUAUGG